GCGGUGUGCCUAAAACAUGCAAGUCGAGCGCCCCUUUAUGAGUAGAGAACUUCGGUUAUCUGUUUGUAUGGGGAGCGGCGGACGGCUGAGUAACGCGUAGGAACGUACCCCAAAGUGAGGGAUAACGCACCGAAAGGUGUGCUAAUACCGCAUAUGGUCUUCGGAUUAAAGCAGCAAUGCGCUAUGGGAACGGCCUGCGUCGGAUUAGCUAGUUGGUGAGGUAAUGGCUCACCAAGGCGACGAUCCGUAGCUGGUCUGAGAGGAUGAUCAGCCAGACUGGAACUGAGACACGGUCCAGACUCCUACGGGAGGCAGCAGUUAGGAAUCUUCCACAAUGGGGGCAACCCUGAUGGAGCAACACCGCGUGCUGGAUGAAGGCUUUCGAGUCGUAAACAGCUUUUAUUUGUGAAGAAUAUGACGGUAACAAAUGAAUAAGGGUCGGCUAACUACGUGCCAGCAGCCGCGGUCAUACGUAGGACCCAAGCGUUAUCCGGAGUGACUGGGCGUAAAGAGUUGCGUAGG
rnacentral:rRNA from 1 species